GAUGAACGCUGGCGGCGUGCCUAAUACAUGCAAGUCGAGCGAACGGACGAGAAGCUUGCUUCUCUGAUGUUAGCGGCGGACGGGUGAGUAACACGUGGAUAACCUACCUAUAAGACUGGGAUAACUUCGGGAAACCGGAGCUAAUACCGGAUAAUAUUUUGAACCGCAUGGUUCAAAAGUGAAAGACGGUCUUGCUGUCACUUAUAGAUGGAUCCGCGCUGCAUUAGCUAGUUGGUAAGGUAACGGCUUACCAAGGCAACGAUGCAUAGCCGACCUGAGAGGGUGAUCGGCCACACUGGAACUGAGACACGGUCCAGACUCCUACGGGAGGCAGCAGUAGGGAAUCUUCCGCAAUGGGCGAAAGCCUGACGGAGCAACGCCGCGUGAGUGAUGAAGGUCUUCGGAUCGUAAAACUCUGUUAUUAGGGAAGAACAUAUGUGUAAGUAACUGUGCACAUCUUGACGGUACCUAAUCAGAAAGCCACGGCUAACUACGUGCCAGCAGCCGCGGUAAUACGUAGGUGGCAAGCGUUAUCCGGAAUUAUUGGGCGUAAAGCGCGCGUAGGCGGUUUUUUAAGUCUGAUGUGAAAGCCCACGGCUCAACCGUGGAGGGUCAUUGGAAACUGGAAAACUUGAGUGCAGAAGAGGAAAGUGGAAUUCCAUGUGUAGCGGUGAAAUGCGCAGAGAUAUGGAGGAACACCAGUGGCGAAGGCGACUUUCUGGUCUGUAACUGACGCUGAUGUGCGAAAGCGUGGGGAUCAAACAGGAUUAGAUACCCUGGUAGUCCACGCCGUAAACGAUGAGUGCUAAGUGUUAGGGGGUUUCCGCCCCUUAGUGCUGCAGCUAACGCAUUAAGCACUCCGCCUGGGGAGUACGACCGCAAGGUUGAAACUCAAAGGAAUUGACGGGGACCCGCACAAGCGGUGGAGCAUGUGGUUUAAUUCGAAGCAACGCGAGGAACCUUACCAAAUCUUGACAUCCUUUGACAACUCUAGAGAUAGAGCCUUCCCCUUCGGGGGACAAAGUGACAGGUGGUGCAUGGUUGUCGUCAGCUCGUGUCGUGAGAUGUUGGGUUAAGUCCCGCAACGAGCGCAACCCUUAAGCUUAGUUGCCAUCAUUAAGUUGGGCACUCUAAGUUGACUGCCGGUGACAAACCGGAGGAAGGUGGGGAUGACGUCAAAUCAUCAUGCCCCUUAUGAUUUGGGCUACACACGUGCUACAAUGGACAAUACAAAGGGCAGCGAAACCGCGAGGUCAAGCAAAUCCCAUAAAGUUGUUCUCAGUCCGGAUUGUAGUCUGCAACUCGACUACAUGAAGCUGGAAUCGCUAGUAAUCGUAGAUCAGCAUGCUACGGUGAAUACGUUCCCGGGUCU
rnacentral:rRNA from 1 species